rnacentral:lncRNA from 1 species
UACCACAUUUUUAAGCAUACAAGUCAUUCCAACUUGUACCAAUUCAUCAUGUUAUCAUAUCAUCAUCAAUAAACAUCAAAAUGGCCGUAAUAAUAGUCUCAAACAUCGAAAGUAAGAUCGAGAAAAAAUCAACAUAAUAUGAAAUGAAUCUCAUAAACUUAGGAACAAAUAGUUUAUGGAACAUCCAAAACAUCAUGAAAAAUAUUAGUAAAAGUCUACCAUAUUGCCUUAUUCCC